rnacentral:rRNA from 1 species
UACGGAAGGGGCGAGCGUUGUUCGGAAUCAUUGGGCGUAAAGGGCGUGUAGGUGGUUCUGUAUGUCUGCCGUGAAAGCGUACGGCUCAACCGUAUUUAGUCGGUAGAAACUGCAGGACUUGAGGCUGGAGGGGCUGGUGGAAUUCCCCGUGUAGCGGUGAAAUGCGUAGAGAUGGGGGAGAACACUCGUGGCGAAGGCGGCCAGCUAGACCAGUUCUGACACUGAGGCGCGACAGCGUGGGGAGCAAACAGG